UACGUAGGGGGCAAGCGUUGUCCGGAUUUAUUGGGCGUAAAGAGCGUGUAGGCGGUUUGGUAGGUCCGCUGUGAAAACUCGAGGCUCAACCUCGAGACGCCGGUGGAAACCAUCAGGCUAGAGUCCGGAAGAGGAGAGUGGAAUUCCUGGUGUAGCGGUGAAAUGCGCAGAUAUCAGGAAGAACACCCGUGGCUAAGGCGGCUCUCUAGUACGGUACCGACGCUGAGACGCGAAAGCGUGGGGAGCGAACAGG
rnacentral:rRNA from 1 species